AUUGAACGCUGGCGGCAGGCCUAACACAUGCAAGUCGAGCGUGAAAGUUCCUUCGGGAGCGAGUAGAGCGGCGGACGGGUGAGUAACGCGUAGGAAUCUACCCAGUAGUGGGGGACAACUCGAGGAAACUCGAGCUAAUACCGCAUACGCCCUAAGGGGGAAAGCAGGGGAUCUUCGGACCUUGUGCUAUUGGAUGAGCCUGCGUCGGAUUAGCUAGUUGGUGGGGUAAUGGCCUACCAAGGCGACGAUCCGUAGCUGGUCUGAGAGGAUGAUCAGCCACACUGGGACUGAGACACGGCCCAGACUCCUACGGGAGGCAGCAGUGGGGAAUAUUGGACAAUGGGGGCAACCCUGAUCCAGCCAUGCCGCGUGUGUGAAGAAGGCCUUCGGGUUGUAAAGCACUUUCAGCAGGGAGGAAAAGCUAAUGGCUAAUAACCAUUAGCCCUGACGUUACCUGCAGAAGAAGCACCGGCAAACUCCGUGCCAGCAGCCGCGGUAAUACGGAGGGUGCGAGCGUUAAUCGGAAUUACUGGGCGUAAAGCGCGCGUAGGCGGUUUGAUUAGCUGGAUGUGAAAGCCCCGGGCUCAACCUGGGAAUUGCAUCCAGAACUGUCAGACUAGAGUACAGUAGAGGUGAGUGGAAUUUCCUGUGUAGCGGUGAAAUGCGUAGAUAUAGGAAGGAACAUCAGUGGCGAAGGCGGCUCACUGGACUGAUACUGACGCUGA
rnacentral:rRNA from 1 species